rnacentral:miRNA from 1 species
AUGCGUAUCUGUGUGUUAGUGUUUUUGUCUGUGUGUGUAUCUGUGUGCCACUAUGUGCCAGUGUUUAUCUGUGUUUGUAUGUGCUGGUGUGUGUAUUUGUGUGUCAGUGUCAGAUACACACACUGACACAUAGUGGCACACAGAUACACACACUGACAAAAACACUAACACCCAGAU